GACAGAGGGUGCAAACGUUGCUCGGAAUCACUGGGCGUAAAGGGCGUGUAGGCGGGAAGGAAAGUCGGGCGUGAAAUCCCUGGGCUCAACCCAGGACCUGCACUCGAAACUUCUUUUCUUGAGUGCCGGAGAGGAAAGCGGAAUUCCUGGUGUAGAGGUGAAAUUCGUAGAUAUCAGGAGGAACACCAAUGGCGAAGGCAGCUCGCUGGGACGGUACUGACACUGAGACGCGAAAGCGUGGGGAGCAAACAGG
rnacentral:rRNA from 1 species